rnacentral:ncRNA from 1 species
ACGGGGAAAGAUUUGACUGCUUGCAACCCCGGUAAACGAAAAAAAUGCUAAAAU